ensembl:snoRNA small nucleolar RNA SNORA29
GGUCCCAUUUCAGUACCUUCCACUCGCUUUAAAAUGAAUGGAUGGCUAUGCUAAUGGGAGAGAAAAACGCUGUCAUGGUCUGAGGGUGUGGCUAACCUAACUGUGUACCACACUAAAUAAAAUGACAGAACAUCCGAAU